ensembl:lncRNA
ACUGGUCGUGUGCUACGAUUGAAUGCAAUGUUUAUAUUACACCAUAACAUCAUAACAUCAUGUCUUAGUGGUAAGGAUUAAUGAUCUUUGAUGAUUUCCAGCAUGGAGCUACUGUUUUGCUCUACCAUCCCUGUGCACCGCACCACGAGCACCACCUCCUGUCCAGCUUGGUCCGCUCAUGUCUGUCAGAUUACAUCAUUACCCCACAUCCACAGCUCAAUAAACACAUGCCACUAGCUUUUGUGUCCUGGGGUCGCACUUUGGAGCUGUCCAACACAGCAACUUCAGACAUCUGUGAUUGGCUGAGAGAGACCACACAGACCAAAAGAAAUACAUCUGACAGUGUGAGUGCUAGAAGGAGAUACAACCUGCUGUUGACCCGACCUGCAGGGCUGCACACACAGGAACAAUCAACAACACUGAAGGAUUCUCUGAGGCAAUGCUGUGAGCAGACCAUCUCUACUCUGCUAAGUGCUACAGAGACUGAACUGGAGCCAAGCAUGAAGAUGGAACAUCUGAAACAAAUUACAGGCAGAGAAAAAAGCAGGCAGAUAAGAGCUGCAAUUAGAGGAAACCAGGUGAAUAUUCAGGGAGCUGAUACAACAUCAAAAAAUAAAAGUAUUUUAACCAAAUCAAAUAACAGAACCGUCUCCCAAAGGACAGGCAGUUUCAGCACUCUUGGACCAUCAGCUGCUUCUCCUCUAAUUCUAAGGGGAGCUUCUCAGUCCAUGGUCCCAAAUCAGGGCCUAACACCCAGGCCCACACACAGAACUGAUUCAUUAGGAUUUGUAACUUUUCCAUCUAAGAAAGGCACGCUAAUGCAGCCUAACCUCAAAAACCCAAAUAGCUUUGCUGAGAUAGAUGUGGUAAAGAGUGUACAGAAUCCUGAAGCCCUGACUCCCAAAGAUACAGACUCAAUCAAACAGAAAGACAAAGACUCAAAUAAAGACAGUGUGAAAGUGAAUGAGUUGAAAGAGAAGCAUGUUGAUAAGAACCAUAAAGCAGAAGGCAAGAUAAAGCACAACGAAGUAGUACAGGUAAAAGAAAGAGAGGUGGAGCAUAAGCAAUUACACAGUGGAGCACACAACAAAAGCAAAAAAAGUAGUUCUGAUUCAGUUUCCGAAUCCCACUCAGAGUCUCACCCACAGCAAAACCCACAGACAGCUGGCAGCAGCCAGGCUAACAGCCGAGACUGUGACAGCUGCAAAGCAGGUGAACACUGCGACUGCACCAAAGCCUCAGGACCAGAGGCCCGAUUUGUUGUUGUGAAUAACGGGUUGCUGAGGACACCCAGGACAGAUGAGGCGGCGUGGGCAGCAGCAGCACUGGGCUUCCUGCUGGUUCUCCUGACACUGUCAGUGCUUCACACGCGCCUGUACCGCUACUGGAGGACAUCACCUAGUCUUUAUUGGCACGAUCCACGGCAAGACUAUGACAGUGUUGCAGAUGUGAUCCGCAGGAGGUUGAAAAUUGCCAAUAGAAGGCGGAAAAGGGGUAGAAGACAGGAGUGUGCUCUCCUGCCAAGCUCCUCCAGCUCUGAUGAAUAUCCAUAG